GCGUGCGCAGGCGGUUUUGUAAGACUGUCGUGAAAUCCCCGGGCUCAACCUGGGAAUGGCGAUGGUGACUGCAAGGCUAGAGUUUGGCAGAGGGGGGUAGAAUUCCACGUGUAGCAGUGAAAUGCGUAGAUAUGUGGAGGAACACCGAUGGCGAAGGCAGCCCCCUGGGUCAAAACUGACGCUCAUGCACGAAAGCGUGGGGAGCAAACAGGAUUAGAUACCCUGGUAGUCCACGCCCUAAACGAUGUCUACUAGUUGUCGGGUCUUAAUUGACUUGGUAACGCAGCUAACGCGUGAAGUAGACCGCCUGGGGAGUACGGUCGCAAGAUUAAAACUCAA
rnacentral:rRNA from 1 species